GCAGUCCCGGCAGUGUUUUGACGACUGCCUCACUAAAGGAAGCUAAAAGCUGUGCUGAUGCCUCCCAGACGAGCCUCGUUGGAAGCACAGAACCUUCACGGCUCGGAGCCGCUGACACCGUGACAAAGGGAGCCCUGCUCAGGAGAAAGAGCAAAUGAGAGGCAGUUGCACUUUUUCAGGUGUCAGGCUGGAGGAAGCCACUUGAAGAUGAAUCUACCUCUGCCUUAGGAUUGCCUGAUGGCCUGUGCCAUUCCAUGUUAUAUCUACUGAUUUGCUCCCUGUAUUCAAAGAUUUUUUUUUUUUACUUAAUUCUCUCUUACUGACCCUGAGAGUGACCAUAUUUUUAACCAAUUUGGUCUUCAGCCUCAAAACUUAGCUCUUUCCUUUUGUGGUCCCCGAAUCCUAUCACGUGUCAUGGUGGCUGUGAAGAUGUUUGCCAAGCCUGCUGAGAAGGCUCAUCUGUGGCAUCCAAAAGCAGAGAUUUCAACUCUGGACCCCUGUGACCUGCCUUUGUAAUUAUGGAUACCCAGCACUGUUUUGAAAUAUCAGUGGACAUCCAGUUUUUAAAAGCCCUCAGAGCUUUGGGAGACACCCCUUUAUCUCUCUGGCAUGUCAGAGAACCGAUUCAACCCUUCUCAUCUCCUCCUCCUUCCCUCUCUUGGGCCAUCAGGAUGCGGCAGCAACUCACUGUGCAUGUUUUUACAGCUCUUCUCCAGUAAUGCUGCCAUUUCCACUGCAGACCACAGGAUAAAAGGACCGCUUCACCGUGGCCCAGGAUACCCUUUUAAGUAGGAGAGAGGAUUAUUGGCAACUGGCACCACCCCCAUGUCUGGAGGAGGGACGUUUCUAGGAUGACCCCCAGAGUGGAGAAAUAGCCGAGCUCAUGAGGCAACCCACACAGGCAGGCUGGAGAGGAGUGGCAAGAAGCUCACCUUCGGACAGUAGUGAGCAGAGCAACAGAGGCCCCCAGAGACUUCGCACAACGGAAAAGAGAUCAACUCCCGCAUUUGCAGGGGACGUGAAAGUGCAAUACUGUGAGGAACAAAAGGAAGCCUCAUCUCUGGAAGCCGGGAGGAAAAACAGUCGGUGUAGACAGCAGCGGCAGGGACCAGAGCUGACCAGAAGGCUGGGUCCCAGCAACAAUUAGAGACAGGCAGCAGCUGAGGCCCCUUCUCUGAGAACCAUUUCAAUUGCACAGUGGCCACAGAAGGCUCCAUUGGCCCGGCAGCCAGCUCUGCAGAGCCAUUUGUCCACAAGGAAAAUAAUAGCCCCGGCCUCAUUGCUUUGGGCUGCAGGGAGGACAAUGACCCACCAUGAAAAGAGUUAAAAAGAUUCUGGGGAAGGGGAAAGGCAGGCCCACACGGUGGCAAUUCAAGAUCUUUUGGAUGCCGUGAGCGUGUUCUUUAAUUAAGCCCCUCUUCUUCAGCUCAUCCUGCAGAAACGCACCUGCUUCCCAUCUGCCAUCCAAAACGGCAAGCACAAGAAUGACUUCACACUGUCACUUUCAGAGUUCCGCUGUGGCCCACAGUGAUUUUUCAAGAAAGGCAGCCACAGACUCGCUCGCGCUUUCUCUUUCUCCUUUCCUCUGAAAGACUCUAUAAAAACCACAUUAAAAAGUGUGUGAGCCAAGCAAUUUCAUUUAUCAAAGGAAGAAGGUCAUCCAUAGCAUUCAUUCUAAGAAUAUCAGGCACACGGCCAGCCCUGGACACAAGGCAUGAAGACCAGAGGGCCCUUUAUUGACCUAAUCUCUAUUUUGUCGCCAAACUGCAUCUGUGUCUGAAAGCUGGGACACACAAUAUUUCCCUCUACCAAAAUAAUUUUAUUUUCUGCAGCAGCAUGUAACAAACAAUUAAUGGUGGUAACAUGGGCUUCUGUCAUUUUCUGAACAACCCAGUUCUGUUUGGUGUUACUGCAGUGGUUGUUAUUUUGGGUGGUUCUGUGCUUAUUCCAUUCUGCCAAUUGGUCCCAUUCGCAUGGGCGUGAGCCCGUGCCGUCAUCUACCACCUUGGAAUCCAUGUUAUUGCCAGAACUGUGUGGGGCCUUGCUUGAGGGCCUGUCCCCUGUCCUCUUCACAGAUGUUUCUGUGCCUUCAGGGAGAGGACUGAUUGUGCUGUCUCCCUCUCCCACCCGUGUCUGCUGUCUCCAAAACUAAGGGAGGCUGCGGUGAAACCAGCCUGGCCCAGGUUCCUCUGGUGCCUGCCGUGGCUCAAAUUAUCCAAACUACAGUGGCUGAUUCCCAGCGACCCAUCCCUUAGUGCCCUUGUGCCCCGUUGAAGAAGUGGCCCAUGUUAUGAAUAGGGAAGCUAAGGUCAUUAAGAAUUUGUGCAGGCGUACAAAGAAAGUGCAAGUCAGAGAUCCUUGUCUCAGCUACUUUGCUUGAAAAAUGACUCCAUGCUCUGAGAUGCUAUAAAUGGAGCAAACAGUGUGAAGUGGUUCUCCCCCUCCAAGAAACUGCCCCCUGAUGCGUUCCCCCAUUAGACACCUGCUCCUCCAAGCCUGGUCUUCUCUCUGCAACCACUUCCCCUAUGCCUCUCCCCACCCACCAUGCAUGACUCCUUGUCACACACAUGAUCUCUGGUCCUACCUUGCACUUGGUGCUGGGGGCUGUGAUUCCCUCUGCCUCUGUCUCCCCACAUCGUCCCUGACAUCACCUUUCACCGUGCACUGGUCUCGCUUCCUCGGGAACUCUAUGAAUGGCCUUGUUCUCUGAUUAUUUGAUUAUUCCAUUAUCAACCCAAAGCUCACUGGGUCUAUGGGGCUGAGAGGUCGUUUUUAUUACAUCAUUUUAAUUAUUCAGAUAAAAGACUCGCAGGCACAGAUUUAUCACCACUGCCUAAAGAAAAGCAGAGACACACAUAAUUCCAUUUUGAAAAUCCAUUCUUAAAAGCAAAAAUAUGAUUCAGUUGAAGGUAUUCAGAAAAAAAAAUGCUCAUUGAAAAACCCUGAUGAUUUUUAGCAUUUC
rnacentral:lncRNA from 1 species